AUGAACGCUGGCGGCGUGCUUAACACAUGCAAGUCGAACGGAAAGGCCAGUGCUUGCACUGGUGCUCGAGUGGCGAACGGGUGAGUAACACGUGGGUGAUCUGCCCUGCACUUUGGGAUAAGCCUGGGAAACUGGGUCUAAUACCAGAUAGGACCAUGCUUUGGAUGGUGUGGUGGAAAGUUUUUUCGGUGUGGGAUGAGCUUGCGGCCUAUCAGCUUGUUGGUGGGGUAAUGGCCUACCAAGGCGUCGACGGGUAGCCGGCCUGAGAGGGUGUACGGCCACAUUGGGACUGAGAUACGGCCCAGACUCCUACGGGAGGCAGCAGUGGGGAAUAUUGCACAAUGGGCGCAAGCCUGAUGCAGCGACGCCGCGUGGGGGAUGACGGACUUCGGGUUGUAAACUCCUUUCGCAACUGACGAAGCUUUUUGUGACGGUAGGUUGAGAAGAAGCACCGGCUAACUACGUG
rnacentral:rRNA from 1 species